AAUCACAGCCUCAGACCAGGUGGGCGCAAGGGACUGCGGGUUAUGUAGUCCAUGCUCAGUGGGACUGCAGCCCCCAGUGUUCCCCGCGCGUCAGGGAGGAGCAGUGCGGCGGCGCGGGCGGCCGUCGGGGCUGGGCGGCGGCGGCGGCGGCUAAGAGGGCCCGGCUUGUGGGAGCCAAGGUGGGAGCGGGCCUCGGCGCGCGGCCACCAUGUCCGCGCCGUCGGAGGAGGAGGAGUAUGCGCGUCUGGUGAUGGAGGCGCAGCCGGAGUGGCUGCGCGCCGAGGUGAAGCGACUGUCCCACGAGCUGGCCGAAACCACGCGUGAGAAGAUCCAGGCGGCCGAGUAUGGACUGGCGGUGCUUGAGGAGAAGCACCAGCUCAAGCUGCAGUUCGAGGAGCUCGAGGUGGACUAUGAGGCCAUCCGCAGCGAGAUGGAGCAGCUCAAAGAGGCAUUUGGCCAGGCACACACAAACCACAAGAAGGUGGCUGCUGAUGGAGAGAGCCGGGAGGAGAGCCUGAUCCAGGAGUCCGCCUCUAAGGAGCAGUACUAUGUGCGGAAGGUGCUGGAGCUGCAGACAGAGCUGAAACAGCUGCGCAAUGUCCUUAUCAACACUCAGUCUGAGAAUGAGCGCCUCACGUCUGUGGCCCAGGAGCUGAAAGAGAUCAACCAGAAUGUGGAGAUUCAGCGUGGUCGCCUGCGAGAUGACAUCAAGGAGUACAAGUUCCGGGAGGCCCGUCUACUUCAGGACUACUCUGAGCUGGAGGAGGAGAACAUUAGCCUGCAGAAACAAGUGUCUGUGCUCAGGCAGAACCAGGUGGAAUUUGAGGGCCUCAAGCAUGAAAUCAAGCGUCUGGAGGAGGAGACAGAGUACCUUAACAGCCAGCUGGAGGAUGCCAUCCGGCUUAAGGAGAUCUCUGAACGGCAGUUGGAGGAAGCGCUGGAGACGUUGAAGACAGAGCGAGAGCAGAAGAACAACCUACGUAAGGAGUUGUCGCACUACAUGAGCAUCAACGAUUCCUUCUAUACCAGCCACCUGCAGGUAUCCUUAGAUGGCCUCAAGUUCAGUGAUGAUGCUGUCACUGCUGAGCCCAACAACGACGCCGAAGCCCUGGUCAAUGGCUUUGAGCACAGCGGCUUGGUCAAAGCGUCGUUGGACAACAAGACAUCCACACCCAGAAAGGAUGGCCUGGCUCCGCCCUCCCCCAGCCUUGUUUCCGACCUGCUCAGUGAGCUCCACAUAUCUGAGAUCCAGAAGCUGAAGCAGCAGCUGGUGCAGAUGGAGCGGGAGAAGGUGGGUCUGCUGGCGACAUUACAGGACACACAGAAGCAGCUAGAGCAGGCUCGGGGAACCCUCUCUGAGCAACAUGAGAAGGUGAGUCGUCUCACAGAGAACCUUAGUGCCCUCCGGCGCCUGCAGGCUGGCAAGGAGCGACAGACUUCCCUGGAUAACGAAAAGGACCGAGAUAGCCAUGAAGACGGUGACUACUAUGAGGUUGACAUCAAUGGGCCUGAGAUCCUGUCCUGCAAGUACCAUGUAGCUGUGGCCGAGGCUGGCGAGCUCCGGGAGCAGCUCAAGGCCCUGCACAGCACACAUGAAGCUCGGGAAGCCCAGCUUGCAGAAGAAAAGGGCCGCUAUGAGGCUGAGGUCCAGGCUCUCACUGAGAAGGUGUCACUGCUGGAGAAGGCUAGCCACCAGGACCAAGAGCUGCUGGCCCAGCUGGAAAAGGAGCUGAGGAAGGUGAGUGACGUGGCUGGUGAGACCCAGGGCAGCCUGAAUGUGGCUCAGGAUGAGUUGGUGACCUUCAGCGAGGAGCUGGCCAAUCUCUACCACCAUGUGUGCAUGUGCAACAACGAGACACCCAACCGUGUCAUGCUGGACUAUUACCGUGAGGGGCAGGGCAAGGCUGGCCGCACCAGCCCAGAAGGCCGCGGGCGCCGCUCGCCUGUCCUUUUGCCCAAGGGGCUGUUGUCGACAGAGAUCGGCCGAGCAGAUGGUGGGACUGGGGACAACAGCCCUUCACCCAGCUCUUCACUGCCAUCACCAUUGAGUGACCCCCGCCGGGAACCUAUGAACAUCUACAACCUGAUCGCCAUCAUCCGAGACCAGAUCAAGCACCUGCAGGCAGCCGUAGAUCGUACAACCGAGCUGUCCCGGCAGCGGAUUGCCUCACAGGAGCUGGGCCCUGCUGUGGAUAAGGACAAGGAAGCACUCAUGGAGGAGAUCCUCAAGCUGAAGUCACUGCUGAGUACCAAGAGGGAACAGAUCACCACACUUCGUACUGUGCUCAAGGCUAACAAGCAGACGGCAGAGGUGGCCCUCGCCAACCUGAAGAGCAAGUAUGAGAAUGAGAAGGCCAUGGUGACCGAGACCAUGAUGAAGCUGCGGAACGAGCUGAAGGCCCUCAAGGAGGACGCAGCCACCUUCUCCUCCCUGCGUGCCAUGUUCGCCACCAGGUGUGAUGAGUACAUCACGCAGCUGGAUGAGAUGCAGCGGCAGCUGGCGGCUGCCGAGGAUGAGAAGAAGACUCUUAAUUCCCUGCUGCGCAUGGCCAUCCAGCAGAAGCUGGCACUCACCCAGCGGCUGGAGCUGCUGGAGCUGGACCAUGAGCAGACCCGCAGGGGCCGUAACAAGGCCACCUCCAAGGCCAAGCCAGCCACACCGAGCGUAAGUCACACCUGCGCCUGUGCCAGCGAGAGGGCGGAGGGCACCGGGCUGGCCAACCAGGUGUUCUGCAGCGAGAAGCACAGCAUUUACUGUGAUUAGGGCCGUGGGGCGCCGCAUACCGCUAACGUCCGCUUCACCUCAACUAACCCAGCUGCAGCAGCGGGACAGCAGUGCUAGGCCAGUCUUAACGUGACUAACGCACAGAGGGCGGCAUUCUGGGCGAGCGGCAGCAUUGGGGUACGUCUGUCACCAGGACACUUUGAGCUUUGUGCUGCUUUUCACUCCACAGCACCCCCCGGGAUAUCCCAUGUCAGUUGCUGUCUUGGGAUGCUGGUAUCAAAGGUAGGGGUGGAUCUGCACAGCUUUGUGGAAGACAGUGGGGUGAAAAUGUUUUCCAGGGCCUCCAGGCACUGUUAGGCGAACCCAAGGGUGAGUUCUUCCCUGGGCACUCACAGGGGCAGAACCUGAGUUGAAACUUGCAUGUUCUUCGCAUGUGUCUGCUGUCAGCACUUGAAAGCAGUUCUGUGAGGCUCUGGCCUGCAUCACAGGACUAGCCUAGGUUAGCUCUCUGUGGUUGGCGUAGUUUCAUGAAGACUUUCUUGUAGUUUGUGCAGCAUCUCACUGCAAACCACAUUCAGGACAGAAAUGCAGAACUUCUUCCCCAGACCCAGAGGGCAUGGACCCUGAAAGCCUGCCUUCUGCAGUGAGCCCCACACCUCAGACACAAUAACCGUAGCCCAGGAAGACAGAGCUGGGCUGCUCUAGGGUCUCAUCUCUGAGCUCUGCAUGCUGCUCUGCCCUGAGAGGAGACAGAUUGGCAGGGCCUGAGGUCCUAGGUUUCCUUUUUGAUGAGAAAGUGUUCCAAGUGCCUGGUCAGACCCUGGCCCUUGGUACAGAACCUGCUCUUUGGUCCUUUGAGAUCCUCAGCUUGUGCUUGGGUCCUUACCCAGAAGUUGUCAGACCCAAAGAAGCAAUGUUCUGAGAACUGUUAGUGCUCUGUCAGACUGUACGGCACAGUAGAGCCCAGCUGUGUGCGGCGGCUUUCUGUGGCCUGGAGCGGUGUUCAGCACCGGCAGGUAAGAGUUUUGCAGUUCAGUGUAGUAUGGGGAUGCUGCAGAAGGAAGAAAGGCCACCGAGGCUCUCCUCUUCAGAUGCUGUGGCAGUGCAGAGCUGUGGCACCAGGCGUUUGCGUUAGUGAGCUGUAAAGCAGGACUCUGCUCAGUAUUUCUCUCCCAGCCCCCACUGGGCAUCCAGUCCUAAGACUCCCAUCUCCCAUGACAGCUGCUUGGCUGCCUCCCUGCGGAAAGGCAUCUUUCAUGGUGUGGAACAAUCGCUACCCAAUAUGGGGCCCUGUAGUCUCUGAGACAGUUUUCUCUUUCUUCCCUCUGGUGCCUGGGGUGUCCCAGUGUGCCCAGAGUCUAGGCACCAACCACAGGGUCUACACUGGGGAUAGAACAGACCACAUGUGUCCCUUGCAUGUCCGUCCUGGGAAUGGCUGCCCGCAUGCCCACCCACCUUCUGCCUUUCUUUCUCUUCGGGCCAGAACGCAGCUUCUCUUACACCGUAUGGGGCUUUGUGGGCACUUGGAGCCCCACCCCUAACAUACUUGCAGCAGGCCUUCUGCCAACUAACGUGAUCGCUCACUCACACCCAGAACAGGAGCUUUAGCAGUCAAGUGAGCAGGGAGUGGCACUCGACUCAUUUCUAAUGCUGUCUUGUUUUCUCCUGUUUUCAGCUGUAGAGUAGCUGCCCGGAGGACGUGGCCACCAGGCCCUGUCACACUGCAGCCCCUCCCCCUCCCCUCCUGUGGCCCAUGCAGAGGAAGGAAGGGCAGCCUAAAGUCCACUUAGAAAUGUUUGGAUAUGCCACUGUAAUUCUUUCAAAAUAGCAUCCCCCAAGUUUUUAAUGGGAGGAAAAAAAAAGCUUUACUCUUGAGAAUGCUGCAAGCUGCUGCUUGGAAAGGUCUCUGGCCGAAGAACCUGCUUCCUUCCUUCCGCAGCCUUGGCCAGGCUCUAGGAGCUGGAAUGCCUGCUGGGGGUCCUUAUUACACAUGCUCCUUUUAAUCCGAUCAACCUGUGCACUUUUGAUAUUUUGAUAUUAUAUUUGCUUCCUUAAUUCCUUGCAUAGAGACGGUCUCCAGUGCCGUGGUCUGUGCGCGUGGUCCUGUAGCUGUCCGUCCUAGCUCUGGUGUGUUGACCUGCGUCAGCACAAGGUAGAGCUGAGCUCCAUGGUGUGUAGCUAGACUGCGGGUGAGGCUCCGACCCGGCAAGGAGCCGGCUAGUGUGUCCACGCUGUGGUUCAGCAGCCUUUAGAGGACAGGGCAUUGUGGUUCAUGUUUGAAAUUACAGAUUUUAAAUGCCAUGUUCAUUAAGAAAUCCAGGGUAUUCCAAUUCUGGGGUUUUUUCAUAUUGUAUUAUUAUUAUUAUUAUUCUUAGGAAUAGUUCAAUGUAACAAGAAGAAAACUUGACCUUUGCUCUGGUUAAAACAGUAAUAGGCACUUGAAAGCAUAAAUUAUUGAAUGAGUAGUAUUACCUACAAAUUCCAGAGUUUUCUGGGUUUUAGGACAUUGUGAAGCAUGACUGACUAACAGAAUUUUAUACAACUGCACCAGUGAAAUUCCAAAUUGGAAUUGUUUUGUUAUUCUGGUUGUCGUGCCAAAUUGUGGUACACUUAGAAAAUUCUACAGCCGUCGAUUUUUAGGUGUUCUAUUUCAACACCUUUUUGUUAGUAACCAUUGCCAGUAGUGCCUUCAUCAGUUCAGGGAGGUGUCCCAGCCAAGUAAGGUCUCUAGGAUGGGCAGCGGAGAGCUAGUUGGGAAUGCUGAAGGCCAGUGUGGACCAGGAGGUACCUGCCUCACUUCGUACUUGGGCAUCUUCAUUGAGGGAGCGAGAACAGUGAUUGUGCAAAAUUCUGUUAGUCAGUGAUACUUCACAUGCAAAUUCAGGGGCUUAGAAACAAAAACAAACACAAACCUGGACUGUGCUUUGGGAACCAAAUGGACUUCCUGGGACAGGCUAAGCAAGCUAUACAGACAUGGCGUUUGUGAAGAGCUGAGGGCGUCAGGAGAGCCGGCACAGUCGGCAUGUGAGUAGGGGAAGAGGGUUAGCCAUAGUAUUCUUUGCAAAUGUGAAAGUCAGACAUUAUAUCUUCUCUUGCUUGGUGUAACUAAUCACUGUUAAUUUCAGGAAACAGAAGUCAGUAAAACUCCUUAGUAAGCCCUUGCUAAGUGAGGUUCAGGGUGUGGUCAAAUUGGUACUAGUGGAGGAAAAGAAGUUGUCCUCCGGCCUAAAAAGGGACAAAUUACAAUAAUAUAAAUUGUUAGAAAUUGAAGAAUUCUGUUUCCUGGAAUGAGCAUUUCUUAUUCCUACUUGUUGGGACUCUUUGCCUUCUGUUACAGUGUUGAUUCACAUAAAACAUUGUUACAUUUAAGAUAACAUCAUCUGUACGGGGUAUUUAUUUGCAACGAUGUCUAAGUACUGUAUUUUUUCUGUGUGUUACCUUAGUGUCAGAAUGUUGGUCUUUAUUUUAAAAGUCAUAUGCAUGUUCUCCUGCCAAGGUACCUUUACACAGACCCGAAACAGUAACGAACAGAUGCCUUCGGUUUCUGAGACAAUGAGGCCAAGUGAGGAGAAGGCAUAGGAAGGUGAGACUAACCGAGACUUAGGUGGCGGUUGAUGGCGGACCGUCUCCACAGCCAGCACACAUAGGAAAAGUGGGCCUGGGUAAAGAGUCACAUUGGUAGGACCAAUAAAGAAUAAUAAAAACAACUGAAGCACAUGCUUGCCCUCUGUGAUUGCUUUUACUCCUGUACCAGGUGACUGCUUCCAGUGUGUACAGUAAGUCUGGGCCCCCAAACAGCCAAUCCUAUUGGUCACUGAGGGUGGGGGCCGGAAACAACCUGGAUUUAUUCUUGGGAGGCAAGAUGUGCCUCCAGAGUUGCCCACAUUGUUCAGUAUGAAGACUGGCAGAAAGGAGGUCAGAACUCAUUGCAGUUUGCAGGAUUCAUGACACAAACUCCUGUCUAGGAAGCAGCAGUUCAGAGGGAUAGACACCUGUGCUGGGCAAGGUCUUGCUUCAGACCUGGGGAUGAACAAAUCUUGGGGACGGGGUGAUCCUUACUUGCCAACCUCAGGCUGUAUUUAAUGUAGGAAUACGGACAGAGAUACACAGUGCUUUGGAAUAACUGCUUGUAGGUGUGAGAACUUGGGGCAGUGUCUAACUCCUUAGACAGCAGAUGCCAGGGCAUUCAUUCUCUGGCCAUCUCCUCUUCUUGCAGCCUCGUCUACCCAGGCUGUCUCUCCAGAAGCCUUCCCUGGCCCUCUGCAGUCAUCUUCCUCUGGCAGUACUGUAGGUAACCAAGACAGAGGUGGGACUCAAAUUACUAAAAUAAGAAAUGAAGGCAGAUAUACUACUGGUUUUACAGAAAUAUUAAGGAUAUAUAACAUACAUACAUACAUACAUACAUACAUACAUACAUACAUACAUACAUGUGUGUGUGUGUGUGUGUGUGUAUCUGUCUGUCUGUCUGUGUAUAUAUACAUAUGUAUAGUGGACCAUUAUGCACCAAAAAUAUUGACUCUCUGAGUCCAAAAUAAGAACUGUUUAAAAGUUAGAAUGAGACGAGGCUGGAGAUAGGACUAAGAACUUGAGGAUGUGCUGUGCUUACAAAGGACCUAGUUCAGUUCCCAGCACCCACCUCAGGAAGCUCACAAUCUUCUAUGACUCCAGCUCCAGAGAUCUGACAUCCUCUAUGGUCUCUAUGAACACUUGCAUUCAUAUUCAUAGGUACACACAGACAAACACACACACACACACACACACACACACACACACAGACAAACACACACACACACACAAACACACAGACACAAAUACACACAGACACACACAGAGAGACACACAGACACACACAGAUACACACAGACAAACACACACAGAGAGAUAGACACACAGACACAGAUACACACACACAGACACACACACACAUAGACACACACACAGACACAAAUACACACAGACACACACAGAUACACACACACACACACACACAGAUAGACACACAGACACACACAGAUACAUACACACACAGAUACCCACAGACACAUACAUAGAUACACUUCGAUGAGUGCAUGCAUGGACUAGUACACAAAUACAAAAACAGACUCAAAAAUUCCCUUAAGGGGGCGGUCAAGAAAAAAGAUAAAUGGACACAUGUUAGCCUGUUUUAAGAAACAAGCAGUAGGCAUUUGAGAAGAAAUUAAAUUGGUAAUGGAAAUAUCCCAGCAGGAGUUGGAUACAGAAGCAGUUUGGAGGACAUCAUCGCAGUCCAACAAGGUGAAACGAAACACUGAACAAAAAGCCGCUCUUUGACCCAUAUUUUAAGUAAAGUGUUAAUGGGGCAGGUUUCUUCGAAGUGCUUGUAAAAAUUCAGUACUACAAGAGAGAGAAGAUUCAGGAAGAACAGGUCAGAAGGGAGGUGGAAUUUUAAAAUCUGGGGAAACCUCAGCUACUGUCAUUGGAACAACUGAGAAAGCCUGCGGGGGGGGGGGGGGUAGGGGGGCCAAGGCGUGGCCACAGCCCUUUGAUGAAGUUGACCAACUGAAGUAGAGACUGUCUCAGAAACAGCAGGUGUUCUCUUCCUGUAAGAAGAUAGCAAUCCUUGGCAUGCAUCUACUUCACAAUAGAACACCUAACACAAACCUAGACCUUUGAAGGAAAAGUAGAUGAACCCACUAUCACACACAGACACUUCUAUACUGCUGAGCAGGAAAUGGCCAGAUGUGGGCAUCCUAGACCCAGAGGGUAAUCCCAGCACAGAGAAGGCAGAGGCAGGAGGAUUCUGAGUUCUAGGCCUCUGAGCUACACAGUGAGUUUCAGGCCAGUAUCAAGACCUUGUCUCAGAAAACCCAGGGAUGAAGCUUUGAGGCAAAAGAGUACUUGUCUAGCAUGCACUAGUAGGGCUCUGAAUUUGACUCACUGGGGGGUGUGGAUGGGGUGUGCACAAGAAAGGAGCAAAAAGUCAGCACUGCCAGUCAACCUGAGGUAGUCGACUACAUUCAAACUUUUCAGAAGAUCAUGUAGAGUGUACAUUCAAGACACCCAGUUCCAGCUCCAAGGCACACCGUAAACUGCAAGAACAGAAUUAUAUGAUGGGUACUCUGACCCCACGAUGGAGUUCAGCUAGAAAUCAUUAACAGAAGGAAAGCUGGAAAGUACCCAAAUAUUUGGAGAUUAAAACAGCAGCCUUCUGGGGGCUGGAGGGAUGGCUCAGUGGUUAAGAGCACUGACUGCUCUUCCAGAGGUCCUGAGUUCAAUUCCCAGCAACCACAUGGUGGCUCACAACCAUCUGUAAUGAGAUCUGAUGCCCUCUUCUGGUGUGUCUGAAGACAGCUACGGUGUACAGUGUAAUGAACAAAUAAAUCUUAAAAAAAAGAAAACAAAAACAAAAACAGCAGCCUUCUACAGAGCACAAGGACAGAACAAGUCUCCACAGAGAUGCAGAAUUGCACUGAACUGAAUGAAGGUGGUAAACGUGAGCACAUUUUGUGUUAAUGUAGCUGAAGGAUUCAUAAAGGAGAAAAAAUUAGUCAGCGAGAUAGGAAAUAGAAAAUCGGUACAGGAAAUGACCAAAAAAGCUGGUUCUUUGAAAAGAUUUUUGUAAGUUCAGUAAUGGGUGAAAUGGACCCAUUCCUUGGAAUACAGUCUACCGAGAAGAAAAGGUAAUGCAAGUUAAGCCUCUAUGAAAUCAUUUUUUACUUUAAUAUAUUGCUAACACUUUCAUUUUACAUCGAUGGUGGGCGUUUUGUUUGCAUGUAAGUCUGCGCCUCAUGUGCAUGCAGUUCCCACUGAGGCCAGAAGAGGGCACCAGAUCCCCUGGAACUGGAGUUCCAGUCAUGAGCUGUCUUAUAGCUAUUGAGAAAUGAACCUGGGCCUUCUGUAAGAGCAAUCUGUGUUGUUAUCCACUGAGCCAUCUCUCAGGCCCCUCUUAAAAUCUUUUUUAAAAAAGUAUCUUAUUGCUAAAAGAUAUUUAUUUGAGACAUGGUUAAAGGGAAGCACUGUAUGAGGAAAGGGGUUAUAUUUUUUGCUUUAUGUUAAUUUUUACAUUUGUGUUGUGUGAACGUGUCAGUGAGCUCAGAGGAUAACUCCCCUUCUGCCAUGUGGGUUCCAAGGGUCAAGCUCAGCUAUUUCGUCGGGCUUGUCUACAGUAAAGCGCCUUACUUGCAGAGCCAUCUUACCAGUCCUUAAAUGAUGGUUAAAAAAAAAAAAAUCCUGGUGGGCAGUGGUGGUCCUUGGCAGCACUGAGACAGAGGCAGGUGGAUCUCUGUGCCAUGCAUUCAAGGCCAGGCUAGUCUGCAGAGCAAGUUCCAGGAGAGCCAGAUCUACAUAGACCCUCUCCUGAAAACAAGCAAACAAACAUCCUUUCUUAAUGGAUUGAAAUAUGCUCAAAAUGAGAGUAAUGGCCCACUUAAUUACUAUAGCUCAUCCAUUGGACGGGGAUGUAGUAAGGACUGAGGGUGAGAAAGGGGACUUAGUACGCUAUAUUGUUUGAGAAUGCUUCAGGCAGGAUCUUACAGUCUUCCCUAAAACUCGCCAUCCUGCCUUAGCCUCUGAAGUGUUGGGAUCACUUAGGUGGGGUAUUUGGCCCUGCCUGUGAUGUAAUAGAGUGUUAUCCAAGAAAAUGGUCUUGGAUUAGUUGUCAGUGUAUAUUGAAAACUCUGGAGCGGGGUUGGGGAUUUAGCUCAGUGGUAGAGUGCUUGCCUAGCAAGCGCAAGGCCCUGGGUUCGGUCCCCAGCUCCGAAAAAAAAAAAAAAAAAAGAAAAAGAAAAAAGAAAAAAAAAAAGAAAGAAAACUCUGGAGCAGGUGUCUACAUUGUUUUAGAUAGCAUUCUAAAAUGAUGAGCUAUAAAAGAAGGUACCAACCUAGCUUCAUGAGAAUUAAAGAAUGUGAUUCGGCAGACACUUCAGGGCUCUGGAGAUGGCUCAGCACUUGAGAACAUUUGCAGCCUCCCAGAGAAUUGCAGUUCAAUUCCCAGCAGUCUCAUCAGGUAACUUACAGUGCAGUAACCUCUAAUUCCAGCUCCAGGGCAUCUGUUGCCCUCUCCUGGACUCCAUGGUCACUGCACAGGUGUGUGUGUGUGUGUGUGUGUGUGUGUGUGUGUGUGUGUGUGCGCGCGAGUGUGCACAUGUGUGUCCACACAGAGAUAUACAUAUGCACAUAAUUAAAUCUUUUUUUUUUGUUGUUUUUUUUUUUUUUUCGGAGCUGGGGACUGAACCCAGGGCCUUGCGCUUCCUAGGCAAGCGCUCUACCACUGAGCUAAAUCCCCAACCCCCAUAAUUAAAUCUUUUAAAAGGAAUCUAGGCCUGGAGAGAUGGCUUUGUGGUCACGAGCACUUGUUGCUCUUGCAGAGGACCUGAUAGGAUUCCCAGCACCCACACGGUGGCUCACAACCAUCAGUAGCUCCAGAUCCAGGGGAUCCAAUGGCCUGAUCUGACCUCUGGGGACACUAAGCAUGUACACGGCACACAGACGCACACACAGGCAGACACUCAGGAAACAAAAGAACAAUUCAAAAGUUUAAAAGUUUUUAAUGAGUUCUUUAUUUAUUUUUAUAUAUUUAUUUGUUUUAUUUGUAUGACUACACCAUAGCUGUCUUCAGACACACCAGAAGAGGGCUCCAGAUCCCAUUGCAGAAGUUGUGAGCCGCCAUGUGGUUACUGGGAAUUGAACUCAGGACCUCUGGAAGAGCAGUCAGUGCUCUCAAUUGCUGAAGACAAAGCAAUUGCUAGGAGAAAAAAGGUUUUUUUUGUUUGUUUGUUUUGUUUGUUUUUUGUAUAUCUGAUAGGUACGUAGAUGAGUAGUAACCAGAUAUAUAAAGCAUUAUUUCUCUAUUUCGCCUUUUUUUUGAGACAGUCUCACGUAGCCCAGUGUGUCCCGGAACUAGAACUCCUGAUUCCCAUGCUACACCUUCCAAGUCCUGGAAUACAGGCAUGCUCCACCACAUGUGUUCUAUGCAGUGAUGGGGACCGUAAGCAUUCUACCAACUGAGAUACACAGCCUAGUCCCAGAACUUCUAAACAGUGGAGCCAUCUUGACUCUCUAGGUCAACAGUAAGAUGAAGGUGUUGAAGACUGCAGACUGUGAAGAGCAGAGACUGCCGCUCAGAACCUCCCCUCAGGGGGAGGGCCCUUGCACUGAACAAAGACUGGAAGGCAAAGGAGAGGAGGAGGCUUGCUGGUGGGAGGGCAAUGGCUUGGAGGCUGUGGUUAGGGAGGUUGGAUUAGAGACGGGAGUGUAUUUGGCUUUCUGGUUGGUCCUAAGUUGGAAGCAGGCUAUUGAUCAGGUCCUGGUGUUUGGGACUGAUUGUUCUAGAGGUUAAUAUUUAGCUUCCCAGGAGUCCCUAGAGAUAGCGUCCUGCUUCCUGUAGGCUGCCCACACAGCUGCCCUCCUUGGCUGGUUUCUACAGAUAAGGGUUGCCUUCCUGUUCAGGUCGCUGUGGGUGGGGUCAAAGUUCCAUUUUUAUAGAUGGUCUUUCUGGACCUUGUCCAUUUGGUUAAUCAGGAUCUCACAAACAACCCGAUUUAAAGUUGGGUGAGAUUCUUGAGUAAAUCUGUCAGGAAGAAAAUGCAAUUCAAAACAUAAGUACCUAAAUGACAUUAUCAAAGCAAAACAGACACCCACCACACACAUGUGCACCGCAUACACACAUCACACACCGUCACCAGGUACACAUAUACACAUACCAAACAUAUAAACGCCAGACACAUGCAUGCACUCUCAAAGUUGUCUUUAGACCCCUAGGUGCACUGCCGAAAAGUACCUGUCCACCAACACAUCAAGUGCAUGUGUCAUGCAUACACAGUAAAAAAAAGACCCAGAAGUUUCUAUGUCUAUAAUUUUUUUUUUUUUUUGAAACAGGUUCUAAAGUAGCCCGGGCUGGCUUCGGGCUCAGUAUGUAGCCAAGGUGACUUUGGACUUCUGAUUCUCCUGCUUCUGUCUUCCCAGCGCUGAAAUUACAGGCAUGUACCAUCACAACCAGCUAGGCUUUUCCUUCCUCCCUCCCUCCCUCCCUCCCUCCCUCCCUCCCUCCCUCCCUCCUUUCCUUCCUUCCUUCUUUUCUUUCUUCCUUCCUUUCUUUGAGAUACAUACAAAUCUGCUAUUUAUGUAGCUCAGGCUGGCCUAGGACUCUUAGUAAUCCAUCUACCUCUGUGUCUUGAAUAACAAACAAGAUGUGCAUUCCAAAUCCAGCUUACCCCCAGAAUUCCACUCAAAAGCAAUAAAAGAGAAAAUCUACUCAAAGACUUAGACCAUUAUUUAUUCUAACAAGAAAAUCUACUUGCUUAUGAGCUCGCCGGUGACCAUGCAAGCUCACUGGGGUGCGCUUCUGUGAUGAAAUGCUAGAAGUUUAAAAUGACCCUAGAACAAGCUGUUCCCAUUGGUUCCACGAGCUUCUUACUGAAGCCCAAAGCUUGCUUGUCGGAACUUGUGAAACUGGAGACAGGCUAGAAGUCUCCUUCAGCUCCAACUGCAGGCCAACGCUACAUCCUGGCCCUCAGAUCAGACCCUCCACAGUGGGGGCUUUGAGAAAGUAUCACAAUGGACGUCUUCCUCCUGUGCUAAGCCCCCCCUCCCCCGGCCCCUCAGAAGUCCAGGUUAUUGGCCUUUCUCACUGGGGGCUGCCUGGGAUCUGGCUUCCUCCUUGGUCUUCUUCUGACCUGGAGUACUGAGUGGUUUCCACAGCUUGAUUCAGAUAAUGCUAGUUUUACAUUAGGGGGAGGCACGAGGGUUCCUCUGUGGUGGUUAUAGUGCUUUUGUAAACAGCUGGAAGCUGGUUUCUAUGAUGACUCCUGUUGCUUCUGAACUGUGGGAAGGCACCUAGGCACCGAGAAGAGCUUGGUCAGGCUUUGGCUGCUGUGUGUGUGUGUGUGUGUGUGUGUGUGUGUGUGUGUGUGUGUGUGUGUCCCAAAGUCACAGGGUGUAGAGCCUUUGUGAACUGGGGUCUUGUGAGUGGAUUUUGAGUCAUCUGAUAUGUCCCCACCGGUGACUGUGGCGACAAGCAGGGGACCAUGACAACACUGUCCUUUCAUCUUGGCUUUUUGUUCCCUGACUGAUGAGGUAAGCAGUUUUACCUCACUCUCUGCUCUGGCCAUGAUGUUCCACCUCACGGCAGACAGAAAAGCAGAAGACACAAGACAUGAGCUAAAACUUGUAAAAUCUUGAACCCUUUUUAAUUACCUGAGACAUUUUGUAACUUUAACCAAAAGCUCACUAUCACAUGACUUUUCAUUUUUAGAUAGGAUCUUGCUAGGUAGUCGAGGCUGGCCUGGAACUCAGUCCUCCCGUCUCAACCUGCUACGUGCACAGAUAAGCACCACCAAGCCUACUCUUCUGUCCUCUGUCUCCUCUCCGUGUAGCUCCAUCCUCAGAGCCGAGGUUGUGACCUGGCUUCAGGAGCUCUCGCUGGCUCUCCUUGACCCAUCGCACCAUCCACAAAGACAGAAAGCCUCUUUCUCUCCACCCAUAAAACAAAAUGCUGCUCUCAUCCAGGGACUUUGUCAAUCCCUUGUCAGCUUCUCAGAAAAUGCCACGGUGGUGUGGGUUAUGGCCAGGGGAGAAAGACUCUGGUUUGGCUAAGGCUAAUGAGCUGGUAUGACAUCCAGGGGGAUACGAUGAGUGCUGUCUUGUGGGCUCCCAGGGAAGCGUCGGAAUUGUUUGUGAGCACCACAUUCGUACGAGCACCAUGUGCAGGAUUGUAACCUGCAGGUCUCCUGGGAUCAUAGACCCCAGGCUUGAAAGGCCCCACUAACCUGCUGGUCUUAGAGAACGGCACAAGCCCAUGCUGCUUCUUCCUUAGGGUUUUCAGCAGCCCGUGUGGAAGGGGCUCCCAGCCCACCAUUUCCUCCAGGUGCCCCAGUCGUGCAGGUGUCAGCACGUGGACUGUUUCAAGUCCCAAGAGGCCAAAAAAUCUAAGACUCCCCACUGCCCAGCCCCAUACAGAAGUAUUCCCCCUUGUGAGGGAUUCCUACUGGGGCUGGAGAUUGUGAAUUUUCUCAGGCUCAUCAUAACUCAAACAAAAGACACAGAAUUGAGAGCCAGUGGAGAUGCCAGGGGGAUGGCCUGAAGUCAGACAUCAUUCUUUUGCCUCACUGUGACUAGAGGGCACUCUGCAGGCCUGGUCUGCUUUAUGUACCCUGAGACCUAACUGAAAAGUCUGAACUUUCUCAUUUCUAUUUGGAAUGUCCCUCAAAGCCCACAUUAAAGGUUUGAUAAGAUAGCCUUUAUUGGGAGAUGGAACCUUUAACGGGUGGUAGCUGCAGCCAAGAAAUGACACUCCUAUGCCUAGUGUGCCUAGCUGGGUCCAAUCUCCAGCCCACAGUAACUGGAUGCUGUGGUGCACACUCCGGGGAAGGGUUGGAAGAGGAUCAGAAAUUCAGGGCAAUCCUCAACUAUACAGGGAGUUUGAGUCUAGCCUGGAUGUAGGAAACUUUCAAAUAAAAUACAUAGGGCCUAGUAAGAGGAAGUGAGGUCAUUGAGGGUAUCUCUCUGGGGCGACGGUAGAGUUCGGACUCUUCUGCUUCUAGGUGCCACAAGGCAAACAGUUUACCACCUCGUACGAUCAGCAUGUGCUGUGUCUGCAGGCUCAGAGCAGCAAGAACAAGUGAGCAGGAACCGAACUGAUGCAAAACCUUUCCUCUCUAGAAACGGGACUGCCUCAGGGAUCCCGUCACAGCAGGGGAAGCUGACCAGCACAGAGGUGAGGGCUCUGUUCCUAGAUAGAGACAUGCGUCUGACUCAGGACCAGUGGCGCCAGAUGACACAGCACUGAAAGCCUCUGUUAGUCACCUCUCUGGUUUUUCAGACGCCUUAAAAAAGGAAAGGCAGCGUGCUGUCUCCUAAUAGGAGGGGCUGUGAGGCCGUAGCUGGCUUUCUGACUGCUCUGAAGAAGGGUAACUGUGCAAAACUGUCCCAACAAUAAGAGGCUGAGGCAGGAGUGUGUGUGUGCAUGCGUGUGUGCGUGUGUGCGUUUGUGCGUGUGUAUGUGUGUGUGUGUGUGUGUGUGUGUGUGUUAGACAUUGGUUAGCUUUCUCAAUCGUUUCCCACCUAUUUAUUCUUUUUUUUUUUUUAAACAAAGUUUCACUAACCUUGGCUGAUCUGGAAUUCACUAUGUAGACCAAGCUGGCCUUGAACACAUGGAGAUCCACCUGUCCCUGCUUCCUGAGUGCUGGGAUUAAGGGUGUAUGCUACACGCUUAGCUUCCACAAGCAUGCAAACGCCCACAAAGGCCAAAUAGGAGAAAGGAGAAGAGGUGGCUCAGUGGCUCAGAGCGUCUGCAGCUCCAGCAGAGCCUAGGUCGGUCAGUUCAUAGUACCGAGUCUGUGAUUCCAGAUCUGGGGAUCCAGUGUCCUCUCUGGCCUCCCGAGGCUUGCAGGUGGUGUACAUCUAUCCACACAGGCAAAACACCUCUCCAUGCAGGUGACAGCUUCUGGAGAGGAUUUUCUUCCGUCCUUCCAUGACAGAUGCUCCCUGUCAAUCUUUGAUAAAGCCACUCUCAUGCUUUAUUCCUCGUGGACAAGGUCUUACACACAUUUUGGGGUGGGUAGGGGUCUAAAAGCAGAUGCUUCCUAUCGGCUUGGUCUGAGAUGUUAGGGAUGCCUCAUCUGCAUGUGGAGGGACAUCUCCCCCUAUGUGACUGAUUGUCCAGUGUUCUUCACGUGUUCCAGGACAGGAACCUGGUCAGGAGUAUGUGACACACCUACUGUACCUCAGGUAUGAGGGUACCAGGGUUUCUGAACCCACUCGGCCUUACCAAGUUUCCUGGCACGGCCCACUGCCCCACACCCUAUGUUCACGAACAAACAUUCUUCUGUAGAACCCAUCAACCAUUUCCCAUUGAAGUGCCCAUCUCUCCUCCCGACCUUCCAUGGCCCUGUGUGCAGCUCUAGGGGUCAAGAAUAUCCCUACCUCAGGGUCUUUGUGUUUGCUCCUCACCAAAAGUCUUUUUCUUCAUCUCUUCUCAUUGGCCUCUGUCCUUCUGACCCUCACUGUCAUUGUAGCUCCUUGGCUUCCCUGCUCUGGGCACUGUGCCCCUGCUCUUUGCUACGUGCCCUGGGAAUUGAAUUUCCCUUGCUGGAAGAGGAGGUAUACAAUUUCAGUUGUCACAACUGGAACGGGGGUGGCUGCUGGUAUCUAGUGGGUGAAUGCCAGGGACAUCUGUCACUCAUCUGUUCUUUGUACUGUAUAUAGGGGAUAAGGCUUCUUGUCAGGAAGUGGCUCGUUGUGUCUGUGGGGGCUGACAGGUCAGAGGCGACAGCAGCGAGAAACCUGAAGGUGUGUCCAGUCCAAAGGCUGUGAGCUCCUGAGAGGUAUUUCCGUUUAAGCCCUAGGGCAGGAAAGCUUUGAGAAGGCAGUGCUAAUCGUUUUCUCAGACUUAGGUCCCUUUCCAGCCUUUAGACUGACUGAUGGUCGAAGCCCCUCCAUGUAGCUUUAUGAAUCUAUAGUCUGAAUGUUGGUACCUCCUAUGUGUAUGUGGUCAAGCCCUGCCCCACAAUGGGAACCUGUGGAGAAGGGAUCAGGUAGUCGGCUGAGAGCCUCCCAACCAAACCAGCGUCCUUAAGAAAACAUAAGGGAUCCUACUCACCCUUUGGGUCAUGUGUGAGCACACAGUAGGUGCAGUCUGUGGGGAGCCCUGUCCAGCAGAUCUUCCUCAAUCUUGGACGUCAGCCCCCUGAAUUAUGAGAAAUCAACUUUGUUUAUGAGCCCCGCCCCUAAUCUGCACUGUUUGUUACAGCAGCCUGGACAGACAGUACAAGUCAUUGCCUGUUUAGACACCAGCUCAUCUAGAAGUACCUCAUAGACACCUCCUAACCUAGUCAAGUGACACAUUAAAAUAACCCUCACCCCAUCCUACGAAACCACAAGUCUCUAGUCCAAACGUCAGGAGUAUUGAGACAGAGAAGCUCUGGCCUAAGGUUGGGGUAAGAUUUAUCUCAAUUCAAAGGUGUGUCCAGGACAGAUUGUGUGAAAAGGCAUUUGCUUGCUUGAUUGGUUUAUUUUUUAUCAUAGUAGGGAUCAAACCCAGUGCCUUGAACAUGGUAAGCAAGAUAGGUCAAGAGCCCCACUAUUGAACUACACCCCAAAACUCCUCACACACCCUCUUUAAUAGAUAUUACCAUGUUGUCUCCCAGAAAGAUUACCCUAUUGAACUGCCUCUUUACAGUAUCUGAGGGAUCUGGCCAUGGUGGCCCACGACUGUUAACCCAACUCUUGGGAAGCAGAGGCAGGAGGAUUGCUGACAGUUCCAGGCUAGCCAAGGGCUACUCAGCAGGAUCCUGUCUCAGACAAUGUAAAACAAAGUAACAGUGAGAGAAUGUAUUUUCUCACCACGGGAUGGCUUUGUGUUGAUUGCAAGUUGACAUGACCUAGAAUAACAUUGGAGACAACUCUCUCAGCAUGCCUGUGAGGAAUUGUCUAGACUAGGUUGAGGGAGGAGGAUCCACCCACCGUGGACGGCACCAUUCCCUGAGGUAAGGUCUAGAACUGAACAAAAAGCACAAACAUGCCCAGUGCCAGCAUUCAUUGCUCAUUGCUUCCUGACGACAAAUGCAAUCUGGCCUCAAGCGCCUGUGUGCUGCAGUGUAGUCCCUCAGACUGUGAGCUAAAUAAACCUUCCUCCCAGCUUGCUGGGAGAAAUAACUAAAACUCAUUGCGAACUAUUUAUGCUUUGCUUUUUUCUUAUCAAAGCGAUACAUAAUCGAGUCUUCAAUCAGCCAAAACUAUGUCGCCCUCUACAGUGGACUGAUACUCAUUUCCUUUUCUUGAGUCUGACUGUCCUGUAGGCCAGGGAGCCUUAAUUUGCUAUCAGCUGAGGCUGGCCUGCCUACACCUCCCAAGAGCUGAGAUUGCAAGCAUGCCAGAUGCAACCCCAUGCCAGAUGGGUUAAUUGCUUCCUAAUUAGUUUUCUGAUAGUUUGCUGACUGUCAACUUGAAGCCCCUGAGUCAUCAGUGUUCAUUGUAAGUGGCUUUGCUGGCUCUACGUGUUGCUAACCUGAGGUGGACACACUGGGAGAGGCAGAGGUUAGUGUCUGGCCUGAGUUGUCCAUGGGGAAUGGGAUCUCCUCAGAUCCUAGACAUCCUCAAAGUCUGGAUAGCGAGGCCCCCUCCUGAGCAGCCCUAAACCUGGCCACCUCCUAACUUCCCUCUGCACAGCCUUUAUCUUCCGUGCUGAGGGACUUAGUUUGGUCCUGCAGAAGGAUCCUCUUUCUGGAGCCAGACGUGCCUGGGGGCAGUUGGCUCAAUUCUAGUCUCUAGAUAUUUUUGCCUCCUUGUCCCCCUUAGUCCCAGCCUGAAGGCAUCUCGUAGCCCUGUGUUCUUUGCUGUAAAGUGGCUCCUGCUUAUCUGCCCACCUUUGGGCAACUGUUUUUAGGGUUUGAAAACCACUUCUCGGUGGCCUGGGGGUUGUAGGUGCCACCAUUCCUCUGCACACGCAGAUCCUCUCACAAACGCGGAUCCUCUCACAAACACAGAUACUCUCACAAAUGCCUGGGUCCUCUCUGAAGUAUAAAGGGGUGUGGUUGGUGCUGGCCAAGCCUGCCCUGCCGCAUACUCCUGCUCUUUGUCACUCUGCCCACAGCACUUGCAUAACUGAGUGACGCAGGGAACUUCCGGUCUGUUGAGAUUCGUUGCCACUGUUCCCAUCGAUUGUCCCAAAGACUGGGCCCCUCCCUCAUCCACAUGUGUAGGUGGCUGGACUACACCUACCUGCCUUUCAUAAGUUCCUCCCUGAACAGGAGUCUUGUGCUUCCUCCCCUCUCUUCCUGUUCCCUGGGGAAGAGAGGUACAAGGUCCUUUUAGUCAAGUGAAAGGAUUUGCCCGGUGUCUCAGGAUCCUCUUCAAGGCUCGACCCCACCCCAGCCCAUGAUGCCGCUGUAUCUUGCAGCUCCUCCAGAGGACCAGAAUUUGAUUUCCCAGCACCUAAGUGGGGUAGCUCACAACUGCUUUUAACUUUUGAUAUGUAAGAAGUAAAACAUUAGAAACCAAGAAUCAGACAUUCUGGUUUUUGGUUUCUAUGGGCAUGUGCAUUACACAAAGAAAAAUAAAGUAUUUUAAAAAUGGCCUCUGUUUCUGACUUUCAGAGUCCUAUUCUUGGUAGACAUCUACCUCCCAGUCCCCUACUGGUCUUCCCUGACAGGGUUCCUGCUUCCUGAAUUCCUCCUGUCAGGUGUCACUUUUUUGUUUGCUGAGACAUAAGCACUCUUAAAUGUCCUGUUAGCAGCUGUAGCCAGGACUGAAGGACCAUGUGGACACGACCAUCCUCCUCUGGACACCAGCAAAGCAUGUGUGUAGGCAUUCAUGCCCCAAGGUGAGAGUUCAGCUUCCUCCAUCCAUUCUUCUGUUUACCAUCCACCCAGCCGCCCGCCCCAUUCAUUUUGCAGUUUUUUGUAGUUUAUGUUUUGUAGUGGUUCUGGAUGUGGGACCCAGGGCUUGAUGGACGCACCCUAUCACUGAGCGGCAUCCUAGAUGUCAUUUUUUGUUUUUAAUAUUGAGAUGUGGAACCAUAGAAACCAAGUUCCCUGUGUAUCUGUUCCCCUGUCGUGAAUUUAUCAGUGGCCCCGUGUAGUUCCCCUGACUUCAUGUCCACGGACAUCACAUGUGAUGUUUGCAGGGUUAGUCCAGUGUGAGUGGGGCCAUCCCAGUGUGGAAAUGUUCUCCAGUGUUUUGUUAGCUUUUCUGCUGUCAGCUUACGUUCUGUGAUUCUUCAUCUAAAGUAUCAAGCACAUGUGUUAUAAGGGUCCAAAACUCACGGAAGACCACAGACUCUGAUAUUAUGAAAAAAAAAAAAAACAAAAACGAGUGUUUAUUUCACUCAGGCCUUCUCACAGGGAACCAGGGGGACUCUCUAGAAGGAUUAGGUAAUCUAAAAUUUCAUUGGUGUGUGCUGGGGGGGGGUCAUAGGUGAUCAGUGUUCUACAUUCCUAUGUCACGAACAUUCAUUCAUAUGAUGAAAUAGGGCCAUCCGGGGCAGACGGUCCGUUCUGAGAUAUAUCCCCAGGCUUUUCUUUGGGAGGGGGGUUUAUGAUCUUGUUCUGCAUUUUAUCGUCUAUUCUGGGAGCUGGUGCCUUGUGACCUACUUCUGGGACUUAUGGUCUGUUCCCAAAGCCGGUGCCUUAGGACCAUUUUUGAAAUCAGGCCUGGUCCUCAAGAGACAAAUGGGGUUUGUCCUUUCAGUGUUAAAACUGGUGACACCAUUGCAAUGCAUUCUUCUGCUUGUCUUGAUUAAUAUUUAAUUUAUUUUAAUCUUCGAGCACUCUUGUGCAUGUGUGCAUGUAUGUUCAUGUAUGUGAGCAGGGCAUACGAAUGCCGCAGAUUGUGUGGGGAGGUCAGAGGACCACCUCAAAUGUCAGCGUUUGCCUUCUUUCUGGUUUGAGACAGGAUCUCUUGUUGCCUGCUGUGUUCACCAGGCUAGCCAGCCUUUGGACUCUCCUAUCUCUGCCCACCAUCUAGCCAGAAUAAUGAAGUGAAAGAAGUUCAGUUAAAGACCUUGUCCCAAAAAAUAAAAGGUAGAAACCGAUAGAGGAAAUCAUUUGAUACCUAUCUCUGGCCUCCAUACACAUACACGGACAGACAUACAAAGGGACAGAUGGGGAAGGAAGCUUUAGGGUUGUAUCAACUAUCAACAGAAAGGACAGAUCAUUUUUUGCCCUAGUUUUCCUUCCCAGUUGACAACCUCAUGAAAAGCGCCUUAGGAGAGAAAUGGAUUGGUUUAGCUCACAAUUCCAGAUGUAGUCAAUCACUGAGGGGAAGUUGAGGUGGGCUGGUCACAUUGUAGUCUUAGCAGAACAAAGAAUGAACACAUAGGUGUAUGUGUUCAGCUUUUCCCAUUCACAGUCCAGGGCCAACCCCAGGGAACAGUGGCCCACAGUGGGCUGGACCUUUCCACAUCAGUUAGCAAGACAAUCCCUGACAACCAGCCAACCUGAUCUAGGCAGCCAUUCUUUUAGAUUUCCUUUCCAUUAGGCUGUGUCAAGUUGACAAGCUAACCACGACAGUUCUCAUGAGAGUCAAUCACGGGUAGGGAAGGGGCUCAUGUGGUCCUACAGGACCGUUGGAGGCUGGUGGGGUCAGGGAGGACCACCGUUGUUGUCACCUGCAGGUGGGGUCAGAGAGACUCAUUGUUUAAAUUUCACGCCCACUUGUGACUCCACCAAGCUCCAGUCACACAAACAACCCUGGUUAAACUAGUCACAAAAGAAAGGUGUGGGUUAGGACAAAGGGUUUGGAGGGAGUCAGCGGGUGUGGGAGGGACACAGUGUAGAGGCAAAAGCCCCAGGUCAAAUUUUAUAGUGUAUAGGUUUGGAAAAAAUGCAUCGUGCAAUGUGUCUGUUGUUGUAAUAUGCAGCAGGCCCUGCCUCCACCCUCCUAGUCCCUGAUCUCUGUAUUGGGUCCAUAAUUUUACCUUUUCCCAUGUAGUGGAACUGAGCUCACAAUGUACUUACUGUCUUCUCAGGCUGGUUUCUGAACUCAUCCCCUUUGUGUCUUCUUGGGCUUUGGGACACUUGACUCUUUUCACACCAGCUGACAGCUCUGUAUGGAUGUGUCCAGAUCUGAUACUGAGCUCCCCUACUGAAGGACACUGAUGUCCUCCAAAUUCGGGACAGUUAUGGAUGAAGCUGAUACUAAUAUCUAUAUGCAGGUUUUUGAAAGGACAGAGUUUUGUUCUUGGUUUUUUGAGACAGGGUUUCUUUGUGUAAAAGUCUAUCCUGGAACUCACGCUGUAGACCAGGCCGGCCUCAAACUCACAGAAAUCCACCUGUCUCUGCCCUCCAAAUGCUGGGACUAGAGGAAUACUCUCAACAUGUCCAGUUGAGGACAUAAAGCAGUGGUUCUCAGCCUGUGGGUCAUGACUCCUCUGCUGGACCCUUUCACAUGAGUCACCUAAGACCACCAGAAAACAUAUUUACAUUAUAAUUCAUGACUGUGGCAAAAUUCCAGUUAUGAACUAGCAGCAAAAAUAGUAUCAUGGUUGAGGGUCCCACAACAUGAGGAACUGUGUUCAAGGGUGUUAACUGUGUUAGGAAAGUUGAGAACCACUGUCAUUUUUUUAAAUACCAAGAAGCAUAGUAACUGGUCAAGUAGCGAGAUCACAUAUACUUUUGUAAGAAACUUCUCUGUGUCUCUGGUGGUUUUACUGCUAAGUUUUAAGAGUUCUUUGUAUAAUUCAGAUAGCAGCUGAAUCAGAUGUGUCUUUUACAAAUAGAGUCCCCCCCCCUCCUGUGGUUUUUCUUGUUCUUUUGACAGUGUCCACUGCAAGACAAACUAUUUAAACUCUAGCUUUCUUUCUUUUUUUUUUUUUUGAGCCAAAAUUUUAUUUAUUCAUUUCUUGCAUUUGAAGUACUCCUCGAUAACAUCCUUGGCCUGAGAUUCUUUGCCAUAGUCCUUAACUACAACUCAACUGCAACCAACCACUUUCCGUGGCUUCCCCUCUCGAUCGAUUUUACAGAGGCCUACCCAUUCCCCUAGUUUCUUGUUGUCAUCAACCUUUAUCAGGUUGAUCUGGUGCUCGGCACAGAGCGCCUCCACCAGCUUGACAUACAUGGGCUCAUCACAGUUGGAUGCAAGCACGCAGAGAUGGGCUUGGCGCUUGUCUAAGGCUUUGGCAGCUUCGCGUAUGCCACGUGCUAGGCCAUCGUGGAUGAGGGCGGUCUUCAGCACCUCUUGUAGAGCAGUGUUGACGUCCAUUACACCUCCAGCAGCUAUGCCUUCCUCGGCCAUGGCGGUGGAUUACGGGUGACGCCGAAUCUUGAACGCACCCGAGCUUCCGCCUCCGCGGAACUUGGCGGCGGCAGGGGAAAAACUCUAG